GAAAACACAACUUCCACCACUGAGCUCUGGGGGCAUGUUUCAUGCUCCACAGGUAGAUCAUGUGUGAACUUAGACCAUCACUGCUUUUUUAACUGUAAGAAAAGAGGCCAAGGUUCAGGGGCUGUCUCAUUCCACUGAGAAAAUAUUCCCAAAGCAAAUGCGGGGUAGCUUUCCCUACCUACGUCUGCCAUGACUCUCUGUACCAUGGCUGCAGAGGACUUGUGUUUAGGUCAAUAAAUGCCACUCCUCUAUUCUGGUCUUGUCUCCCCCAAGAAGUCUAUGAAUUUAUAAGGUCAGCCUAAAUUGUGGAUAACCAUUGUGUCUCCAGACCUGUGAAAGAAGACUGGCACUUCAGGAGACACAUCACGAUUGUAAGAGACUUUCCUUGGGGAAAUCCCCUCCCCCACACUUACUCACCCAAAUAGGAAGUGUGGGUCAGACCAAAGUACUGAUACUGCCAAUGUCCAACUUGGUGAGCCAGUGAGUUUUAUUGUGGUUACUUACAGGAGUAUGGGUGAGAGGGCAACUUACAGAGGCAGAAAUGACUCAAAGACAGCUGCAGCACCAAAGCCCACCCCAGCGUGGUGACAGCUCAUGAAGGCUGGGAACCUGGAGCACACUGAAUAGCCUACAGGCUACACCACUGGAGAGUCCCGCCACAGUGAUUGUCUGCCUCUUAUGUAACCCAGGAGAGAGAAGGAGUAUGCAAGGAUCUUGUGAAGGCUUUGGAGCCCCGUUCUGAUCUCAUGAGAGACUUGUGCAGCUCAUCCAAGAUGCUCUGAUUCAGGAUGACCAAGGUCAAGUCCUACCUGCAGGUAACAGUUACACAGCAGCACCAGAAGCAGAGAUCCAUUUGAAAUUUGAUUGAGAACUUUGAAGCUUUCUUUGCAAAAAUGCACACAGGCACAUUCAGUUUCAGUGGAGGUCCUGGCCUGGGAGACCCACCUGGAUACUUGGAUACUGAAAUAAAGUUUGGAGGAAAAAUUAAUGGACUGGUGAGCUGGUGAGAGGACAUUUUGGCUGUAAAAGACUUUUUACCAUGUGAGACUUCACCCCUCACCCCAGUAUUUCUCAGAGCAACUGCCAGAUAGUACCAGUCUCUCGGCAGCUGCCACCCAUUUAUUUGUGGGACCCUGCAGAGGCUGAGAAGAGGGGCACUACAACUGGGGAAAAUAAAAUUGUGUUCACGGCCGGUGCA
rnacentral:lncRNA from 1 species